AGACUAAGUUAAACAAGUAAAAACUUCUAAUUUUAUACUUAGGUAGUUUAAUUCUAUCUUUAGUCUU
rnacentral:tRNA from 1 species